GAAGAGAAGCAGCAGCAGCAGAGGCUGAUCUGAAACAUUCACAAGGAGUUCCUGUGAAUACUGAGGCAUUUGGACUUCAUCCUAAGCAGAAAGCAAAGGACUCCCUGAUCCUAGGAGACAAUGGAGCCAUGAGAUGAAAAAAGUCUUCAUGUCAUCAUUUGGAAAAUAAUUGCUCAGAAGACCCACUAGACAAAGAGCCUUCAUGUAGAACUAUUGUCUGACUCUGAAGGCUAGAAGCCCAGGACCAAGAUGCCAGGAAAAUCCAUGUCUAGUGAGGAUUUGCUCUCUGUUUCCAAGAUGGCACCUUGUUGCAGAUGGAAGACGCUAUUGGUGACAGCAGCAGAGUGACAACCCAGAAGGGCAGAUGGCAGGAACCAUGGUCCCAGCAAAGGAACUCUGACCCAGUGAGAGAGAAAGACAAGAUAUUUUGACCACCACUUACAAGGGUGACAACACAGGGGUCAUCAAUCAAAGCAUACUUGUGAAUUUAAAGGCACAGAUACCUCAACUAUUGUUAGCCCCUGUAAAAUAUUUUUUAAAAAAACUAUUUUACAUAAAUGAUCAUGGGGCUCUUCUAUAUAAGGCAUUCUCUGUGCCAAUAAUCACAGUAGUAUAGAAAGUGGGACUAGAAAUGAAUCAAACUAAUACUAUUUAUGCACAAAAAAUUGUCACUGUAUUAUCCUUAAAACACUUAUAUUUGAGUUAACUAAAAUGCAUAACCAAGACACUGCUAUUGUAGCUGUAAUAUUUAAUGAAUUUUCCAGGUAAUUAAGCCAAAAGUACUUUUGGGGGAGACAGGAAUUGUUGUGAUAGUUAAAAGAAGAGGCAUUGCAAACAUUUUAUUGGUAACACUGUUUACACAUACAGCUCCUCUCCAUGUCUCUCUAAAACCAACAAGUCACUCAAAACAGGGAGCCAGGUGGGUUAUCAAUGGCUAGAACCCAUUGGAAAUCAUUUUUAUACCUCCCAACAUAAAAGUGAAAAGAGAAAUAACUCCUUAAGAUCACAAUGAUAAUUUUGUUUUCUGUAAGAGAAGGAUGGAAUUGAAACAUUUAAAAGUCAAUUUGUGAAAAUGAAAAAGCAAAAGCUUUCCUCAUUUUUUUGGUAAACUUUGUAUAUACAUAAGAGCACUUCCAAAAGUUCAUGUAAAAUGAAUAUUAUGAAAAAAUGUAUGUUAUGGAUUUCAAAUUUUCUGUUGCAAAAUAAACUUAUUCUAUAAAUUCCAUUUUUCCAUGAACUUAUGGAAGUGUGCUCACAAGUAAUUAGUGAAUUGUAGAUGUUGCUUUAAAAUGUCAAUUUUUCCUUCUAAAAAGAAAACACUAUGGGGCCAGUGCUGUGGUAUAGUUGGCUAAAUGUCUGCCUGUGGCACCAGUUUCCCAUAAAGACAUUGGUUCGUGUCCGGCUGCUCCACUUCUAAUCCAGCUCCCUGCUAAUGCACCUGGGAAAGCAGUAGAAGUUGGCACAAGUGUUUGGGCCCCUGAACCCAUGUAACAGACCCAGAAGAAAGCUCCUUGCUUUGGACAGGCCCUGCACCCGUUAUUGCGACAUCCGUUUGGGGAGUGAACCAGUGGAUGGAAGAUCUCUCUGUGUCUCCCUCUCUGUCUCUAACUCUGCCUCUCAAAUAAAUAAAUAAAUCUUUUUUUUUAAAAAAAGACUAAUAAUUUACAAAA